rnacentral:lncRNA from 1 species
AGGUACAAUUUGCUAUUGAAAUGGAAUAUCAUUUUUAUAUAGGUGGAAGACAAUAACUAUUAGCGUUGCAACCAGAGUUGCUUAGUGCUAAGCAACUCUUUACAAUGAUUUACAAGCAUUGAAAAGGGAUCCGCAAAAAAAGUGUGGCAUUCCUACCCCAGGAUAACUACUUUUUAGGCUGGAUUCUAAAGCUCAAUAUAACUACUAUUUCAAAAGGUGUCCUUAUCUUUAAAGAGCAGUGAUUUCAAGGAUAUUGAACUAUUAUUAUUUUAAUUGUGUAAUUAAAUGAAAUCAGUAUCUCAGUAUAGUGUUGCAUGCAAUAGCACUGAUAAAAAUUAAUCAUAAAAUUUCA